AAUUUGAUGAUCUUGAUAUGAACUAGUAAGAAUAUGCAAAGAAUGCUUGUACAUAAUGUUUUGUUAGUAGUACACCCGCCAAGUGUUCGAUGAAAUGCCUAAGAGGGCAAAAUUGUGAAAUUGUAUGAAAGUUGUGGGUAAGUAUGUAUAGAAGGUGCUUAUGGUGUAGCCGUUAGCAAAAUAAUAAGUUAAGUGUGCUUAAGGUGGAGUCCAUAUGAGAAUUCGGAUUUGAAUGUAUGGUUUGGUAAAAUUAUGCAUUAGGAACUUGUACCUUAUGCUUCAAUGGUGUGAUGCUCGCCAUGUAAUUGAUGCGCUUGAUUUAUGGUGAUUAAGAGUGAAUGUGUACGAAUGUGAAAUGAAUAGUUUAUUGAUAAGUGAUAAUGUUAGAGUUAUGUCGUGUACGUAUGUAAGAUGAUAAUUUUGAUUAAGUGAAUGUUGAACAAUGCGGUUGUCGAAUGUAGAGUUAUGAAAGCAUAAGUAUGUGUAAAUUGGUUGUGUAUAUUGUGUAUGUGACUAGGUGAUCAUGUAGUUGUAUGUGUUAUACAACAUUAUGUAUGAAAUUAAUAUGAUGUCAUUAAUAUGGUCUAUUAUAUCAACAUAAAUGCGUGUUCGAAAUUGGAAGUUAUAUGCUAGAAGGUUGACUUUCUGAAAGUCAACAGAGAAUUUAUAGCAUGGUUAGGCAUUUUGACACAAAUAUAAGAACCGAGAGAUCAUGGAAUAUGUGUUAGAUCAAUUAUGUGUUAUGUGUGAUAACGAAUUUGGAUUUCAAAGAUAUUGAACUAUGUGGUUGACAAAUCAUGUCGUAUGCGUGUUAGUGAAAGUCAAUGUAGAUAAGAGUUGGAAAAUGUGUGUUAAUAUGAAUGAGCAUGAAUACUAACAUUAUUAUGGCAUGACGGCAUGAAAGAAUAGGAACCACACUAGCGUGGACCAAGCAUGGAAGGCUAACGGGUCAAGAUGAGGCAAGGAAGCGGGUAUGAACACGGAUGCACAAGGAAUGAAUUGUGUGAUGUCAAUGAAGUAUUAAACGGAUCUUAG
rnacentral:lncRNA from 1 species